UGCCCAGUCUUUUGCAUAACCCUCAACAGAAUCCAUUAGUAGUUUGAAGUUUUGCUUCCAAUUGAUUGUCUGGGGCUCUCUGUAUUUCAGACCCUUGUACAAAAAGUGAGCAUUUAAUGGUGAAUGGUCUGAAUUCAAAUGUUCAUAUAGAGCAUUUUUAUUUAUAAAAAAAAUCAAAUUUCAAAAAGGGGAUUUAUAUAACAUUGUGUCACUUUUUAAAAUAAAAAAACUGAAGAUAUUUAUGUAUCAAAUUUUACCUGAAGCAGAAGAAAAACAAUUUAUCAUUUAGGUCCUCACAAACUAUGUCAGUGCUAUUUCAUUCCAUCCAUUGAAAAAUCAUUACCUAUGUUUUACAUUUACAGAAGUUCUUUAUAAAAAGUGAACACUUAUUUAGGUUUGAAUAUUACAAUGCAAAAGAAUAAUUUUGUAAGGUCACUCGAAAGGGUAAAUAUGAUCUAAAUUGGUCAGACAAUACUUGGUCAUGUUUUAUGAAGAUUAAGCCCUCGUAUUGUCUAACCUAUAAGUAAAGUAUCUAUAGAAAGAUAUUCCUGUUUGUACUAUGAUACAUUUUUUUUUCUCUCGAUUGUCUUUCGGAUACAAUAGCUUGAAUGAAGCUUUUAAUUCUCUUUCUUGGAAAAAGCUUUAGAAUUUGUGGGAAGUCUCGAAUAAAAUCAAAUAUUCCUUAUAUAAUC
rnacentral:lncRNA from 1 species